UGGGGAAUUUUGGACAAUGGGCGCAAGCCUGAUCCAGCCAUGCCGCGUGCAGGAUGAAGGCCUUCGGGUUGUAAACUGCUUUUGUACGGAACGAAAAGACUCUGGUUAAUACCUGGGGUCCAUGACGGUACCGUAAGAAUAAGCACCGGCUAACUACGUGCCAGCAGCCGCGGUAAUACGUAGGGUGCGAGCGUUAAUCGGAAUUACUGGGCGUAAAGCGUGCGCAGGCGGUUAUAUAAGACAGAUGUGAAAUCCCCGGGCUCAACCUGGGAACUGCAUUUGUGACUGUAUAGCUAGAGUAUGGCAGAGGGGGAUGGAAUUCCGCGUGUAGCAGUGAAAUGCGUAGAUAUGCGGAGGAACACCGAUGGCGAAGGCAAUCCCCUGGGCCUGUACUGACGCUCAUGCACGAAAGCGUGGGGAGCAAACAGGAUUAGAUACCCACGUAGUCCCUGAGCGGGCUGGCAAGGCGCAU
rnacentral:rRNA from 1 species